GCGGAAGGUGGGGUGUGGGGCCGGAAGACCCUCCCCCCGCGUCUUCAGAGGAGCGCUGUUUCUGGAGGAGUUAGGGGAAGGAGGCUGCCUGGUAAGCCAGGAAAGGGGCUUCUGGCCGUUCUGUUGGAGCGCCUCUGACUGACUUCCCCCAUGUGUCCGUGUGGCCACACCGUGCUACUUUCAGAGGCAGUGGGCUUUUCGCUAAGGGAUAAAAAGAAGUAAAACCUUGCCUUUAGCGCAGCUCUCCUUCACUGGGCAGAUUGCUCUCCCUCCCCACUCUCCCAGGCCCAAAUUGGAUCUCAGCGCCUGGGAGCUCCAACUUUAGCAAGUGCGAAAUCCUGUCUUCGGUUUUGGAAUUUUCAUCCGCACAGACUAUAUCAGCCACGGAUAGGAUAUGUGAGAAUACCAGCAUGUCAAGGCUGGGAAUCAUCCUUAGGCAUCACCUAGCCAGUCCUGCCUCUCAUUUUAAGAUGCAGAGUGUUCAUAUGAGGAGAGACUUUCCCUUGUCUCCGUCAUCUGUGAUUUCACUUCCCUGACAGAAGACGAAGCUUCCAUCUCAGAUGUUUUCUUAAAUGAUGAAACAGCAUACGCCUCUGUUCUUGUCAGCUCAGGGAAAACAGAUCUGGGGACCUCUUCAUCUCUGCGUUGGGAAGCAUAGGUGGUAUAAUCCCCUCCUGUCACGUCCAACGUUGCAUAGUCAGAAGCUUCGCCCUUGUAGUUGGUGCACACAGCACGGUGAUCACAGGAUCUGGUUUGCCACUGAAAGGAAUCUUGAUGCUGACCACUUCACCUCGGAGAGCAUGAACUGCUCCCAUGCCUUCAAGAGUUUUAGUGGGUAACCAGGAUGGAACUGCGGUGUUGCUUGCAGGAGAAGCUUACUACUGGUUUCUACUUCUCCAACCUCAUUGGUGGCUAUGCAGGCACUGUCUCCAGACUGUCUAUAUUCAACCCAGUAUCCAAGAAUUUCUUUACCACCAUCACAUUCAGGUUUCUCCCACUGUAGAGUGACACUAUCUUUGGAUAUUGAAAGAAUCUCAAGUUCUCCUGGUUGGCUUGGUUUAUCUGAAAUAUUUUAAAAUAAUGAAAAGGGAGUCAGCUUUACUGGUGAAAUAAAAGGACCAAACAUGGCUUGCUUCUUUAAUUUAACCCCUUCUUCUGAAUUCCUUACCAAAUGGAUCUUUGCAAACAACUGGUUCAGAAGCAGGGCUGGUCUCACUCAGGCCAACAUCAUUCUGUGCGAUGAUGCGGAACUGAUACUCAGCAUCGGGAACAAGCCCUGUGACAGUGUACAUUGUGGUGGUGAUCUGAGUCUUGUUGUGUCUGACCCACUUGUCAGUGGAUGUCUCUUUGCGUUCGAUGUAGUAGCCUGUGACUCUAGAACCACCAUCAUCUUUGGGCCGGGACCAGGACAAGCUAACAGAACUCUUGGUUACAUCGAGUACUUCUGGAGGAUUGCUUGGAGGUUCUGGAGGAUCUGUAAAUAUAAGUGGAAAGCACACAUGUAUUAGAAUACAGUCCCAAGUAUUAUAAGCCAAUGACUUUCAUUUAAAAACAGAAAAGUGCUGAAAUAAUGUUUAUAAUUUUGUGGUUGAAAGGGCACUUACUCAAUGGUGUUUUUGGUGUGACUGGUUCCUCAGAUUUCAAGGGUUUGCUUAUGCCAAACUGGUUUUCUGCUGAAACACGGAAAUGGUAUUCUACAUUCUCUUUGAGGCCUUUUACCACCAGAGAUGUACCUCGGACUCUGGAAUCAAUGGUAUACCAGGCGGCUUUAGGCACUUCUCGUCUCUCGAGGAUGUAGCCUAAGAUGUCAGCACCACCAUCAUCAGCAGGAGGUCUCCAGCUGACCCUCACAGAGCGGACUUGGAUGUCAUCAUAUUCCAGUGGCCCUUCUGGACUGUUGGGACUUCCUAUCACCCUGACCUUGAUGUAGACAGCCUUCUUGCCACAUUUAUUUUCCAGAACCAGGUCAUAAGUGCCAGAAUCACCCCUGUCUGCUUCUUUGAUCACAAGCUCAGUGUGUGUUUCAGAUGUUGCAAUCAUGGCACGCUUACUAAUAUCCUGGCCUUCCUUGGUCCAUUUACAUAUUGGGAAUGGUUUUCCUUUGAUUGGUAUGGUAAGUCUGAUGACGCCACCUUGCCUUACAAAGAUACCUUCUUGGUAUCUUUCAUCAAGUUCAUAAUCAGGAUAUUCUGGAAAAAAAGGUAGGGUUUCAAUUUAGCAUUUGGGGUAGGGGGACUAAGAAAUAAGUCUAUGGCAAUUAUUGCAGAAAGCAAAUGAUCAUAUGUCUCACCAAGCAUUUCAGUGACUUUGACUGUUCCUGGUACCUCAGCAGGCUCACCAGGUCCACCAGCAUUACAAGCUAGGACGCGGAACCUGUAUUCUGCACCCUGAGAAUCAGAGGUGGGGAGAGUGGUGGAAGGGCCUGUGGACUUACGGAUGCUGCUGCGACACUCUAUGACCUCAGACUGCAAGUAAGAGCCAAUCCCGAAGCGGUUUGUUGCAGCCACACGGAACACAUACUCAUUUCCUUCGGUGAGUCUGGUAAACUUAAACGUGGACCUAGUCACUGAUUCAGAAACGGGCAGCCAUCCUGGACGAUGAGCGUCACGUUGUUCUACCACAUAACCACUCAGUGGAGCACCACCGUCCAAUUCAGGUGGUUCCCAGGAAAUGGUAAUUGAUGUAGCAUCAAUUUCAUCAAUCUUAAUAGGUCCUGUUGGUGGACCAGGCUUGUCUAUGAAAGAGAAGAAAUACAGGAAAUUAAUUUUUACUUCAAAUCAAAAUUGGGUGACUGAACAUCAACUUGCUUGUAUCUUUGUCACACAUCCUUACCAAGAAUGAUAACUUUAAUGGUUUCUGAAGUAGUUCCGGUAACAUUCUUCAAUUCAAGUGUGUAUUCUCCAGUAUCUCUGAUAGUGGUUUCACGGAUGGUUAAUUUAGCUACUUUAGUGUGAGUUUCAACUGUGACACGCUCUGAUUCUCUCAGUUUAGAACCAGCAAAGAACCAGGAAGCAGCAGGAGGUGGACGGCCAGCAAUAGGUAUCACCAGCUCUACUGGUCUGCCAGCUGGGACAUGGAUGGUCUUCUGAGGCAUUGUAGAAAGAUCGAUUGUUGGCAACACUAUGGGAAAGAAAUCAGGCAUUUAUUCUUAAGCAUUAUUUUUAUGCUUUGCAGGCCUCGAGAACAUAUCCAGUGAGUCGGCUACCACCAUCGUAGAGUGGUUUUUCCCAGGCAAGGGUAACAGUGGAUUUGGUGACAUCGACCACUUCUAGCUUUGCAGGCACCAAAGGCACUUCUGAGACCAGUACUGCAUCAGAUGUUUCACAAGGUUCUCCAAUGCCAUAAAUAUUUUCUGGCAGCACUCUGAAAUAGUACAUGGUUCCUUCUACAAGUCCAG
rnacentral:lncRNA from 1 species